GGCUUMKGGUUGUAAGCUCUUUUACCAGGGAUGAUAAUGACAGUACCUGGAGAAUAAGCUCCGGCUAACUCCGUGMCAGCAGSCGCGGUAAUACGGAGGGAGCUAGCGUUGUUCGGAAUUACUGGGCGUAAAGCGUACGUAGGCGGUUAUWCAAGUCAGAGGUGAAAGCCUGGAGCUCAACUCCGAGAACUGCCUYUGAAACUAGAUAACUAGAAUCUUGGAGAGGUGAGUGGAAUUCCGAGUGUAGAAGGUGAAAUUCGUAGAUAUUCGGAAGAACACCAGUGGCGAAGGCGGACUCACUGGACAWGUAKUGACGCUGAGGCACGARAGCGUGGGGAGCAAACAGGAUUAGAUACCCUGGGKAGUCCACGCCGUAAACGAUGAUAACUAG
rnacentral:rRNA from 1 species